rnacentral:rRNA from 1 species
GAUGAACGCUAGCGGGAGGCCUAACACAUGCAAGCCGAGCGGUAUUGUUUCUUCGGAAAUGAGAGAGCGGCGUACGGGUGCGGAACACGUGUGCAACCUGCCUUUAUCUGGGGGAUAGCCUUUCGAAAGGAAGAUUAAUACUCCAUAACAUAUUGAUUGGCAUCAAUUAAUAUUGAAAGCUCCGGCGGAUAGAGAUGGGCACGCGCAAGAUUAGCUAGUUGGUGAGGUAACGGCUCACCAAGGCGAUGACCUUUAGGGGGCCUGAGAGGGUGAUCCCCCACACUGGUACUGAGACACGGACCAGACUCCUACGGGAGGCAGCAGUGAGGAAUAUUGGUCAAUGGGUGCAAGCCUGAACCAGCCAUCCCGCGUGAAGGACGACUGCCCUAUGGGUUGUAAACUUCUCUUGUAUAGGGAUAAACCUACCCUCGUGAGGGUAGCUGAAGGUACUAUACGAAUAAGCACCGGCUAACUCCGUGCCAGCCGCCGCCGUAAAAC